rnacentral:rRNA from 1 species
UGGUCCAGACUUUGAUUAUGGCUCAAGACGAACGCUGGCGGCGCGCCUAACACAUGCAAGUCGAACGAGCGAGAGAGAGCUUGCUUUCUUGAGCGAGUGGCGAACGGGUGAGUAACGCGUGAGGAACCUGCCUCAAAGAGGGGGACAACAGUUGGAAACGACUGCUAAUACCGCAUAAGCCCACAGGUCGGCAUCGACCAGAGGGAAAAGGAGCAAUCCGCUUUGAGAUGGCCUCGCGUCCGAUUAGCUAGUUGGUGAGGUAAUGGCCCACCAAGGCGACGAUCGGUAGCCGGACUGAGAGGUUGAACGGCCACAUUGGGACUGAGACACGGCCCAGACUCCUACGGGAGGCAGCAGUGGGGAAUAUUGCACAAUGGGGGAAACCCUGAUGCAGCGACGCCGCGUGGAGGAAGAAGGUCUUCGGAUUGUAAACUCCUGUUGUUGAGGAAGAUAAUGACGGUACUCAACAAGGAAGUGACGGCUAACUACGUGCCAGCAGCCGCGGUAAAACGUAGGUCACAAGCGUUGUCCGGAAUUACUGGGUGUAAAGGGAGCGCAGGCGGGAAGACGAGUUGGAAGUGAAAUCUAUGGGCUCAACCCAUAAACUGCUUUCAAAACUGUUUUUCUUGAGUAGUGCAGAGGUAGGCGGAAUUCCCGGUGUAGCGGUGGAAUGCGUAGAUAUCGGGAGGAACACCAGUGGCGAAGGCGGCCUACUGGGCACCAACUGACGCUGAGGCUCGAAAGUGUGGGUAGCAAACAGGAUUAGAUACCCUGGUAGUCCACACCGUAAACGAUGAUUACUAGGUGUUGGAGGAUUGACCCCUUCAGUGCCGCAGUUAGCACAAUAAGUAAUCCACCUGGGGAGUACGUCCGCAAGGUUGCAACUCAAAGGAAUUGACGGA